UUGACCUCAAAUCGGGUGAGACUACCCGCUGAACUUAAGCAUAUCAAUAAGCGGAGGAAAAGAAACUAACAAGGAUUCCCCUAGUAACUGCGAGUGAAGCGGGAAAAGCUCAAAUUUAAAAUCUGGUGGUCUUUGGCCAUCCGAGUUGUAAUUUAGAGAAGCGUCUUCCGCGCUGGACCGUGCACAAGUCUCCUGGAAUGGAGCGUCGUAGAGGGUGAGAAUCCCGUCUUUGGCACGGAUGUACCAGGGCUUUUGUGAUGCGCUCUCGAAGAGUCGAGUUGUUUGGGAAUGCAGCUCAAAAUGGGUGGUGAACUCCAUCUAAAGCUAAAUAUUGGCGAGAGACCGAUAGCGAACAAGUACCGUGAGGGAAAGAUGAAAAGCACUUUGGAAAGAGAGUGAAACAGUACGUGAAAUUGUUGAAAGGGAAACGCUUGAAGUCAGUCGCGUCGACCGAGACUCAGCCUCGCCUCGGCUUGGUGUACUUCUCGGCUGACGGGUCAGCAUCAAUUUUGCCCCUUGGAUAAUGGCGAGGGAAAUGUGACACCUUCACGGUGUGUUAUAGUCUCUCGUCGCAUGCAAGGGUUGGGAUUGAGGAACUCAGCACGCGCCUUUCGGCGUCGGGGCUUUGCCCACGAUACGUGCUUAGGAUGUUGGCGUAAUGGCUUUAAACGACCCGUC
rnacentral:rRNA from 1 species